GCAUGGGAUAGCUCAGUCGGUAGAGCAUGAGGCUCUUAAUCUGAGGGUUGUGGGUUCGAGCCCCAUCCUGGGUA
rnacentral:tRNA from 1 species